rnacentral:rRNA from 1 species
CUCCAGCUUGUAGGCGGGGUAAUGGCCCACCUAGGCUUCGACGGGGUAGCCGGCCUGAGAGGGCGGACGGCCACAUUGGGACUGAGAUACGGCCCAGACUCCUACGGGAGGCAGCAGUGGGGAAUAUUGCGCAAUGGGGAAAACCCUGACGCAGCGACGCCGCGUGCGGGAUGAAGGCCUUCGGGUUGUAAACCGCUUUUGAUUGGGGAGCAAGCCUUUGGGUGAGUGUACCUUUCGAAUAAGCGCCGGGCUAACUACGUGCCCAGCAGCCGCGGGUAAAUA